rnacentral:tRNA from 1 species
GCUCCGGUAGUGUAGUCCGGCCAAGCAUGAGGGCCUUUCGAGCCCUAGACCCGGGUUCGAAUCCCGGCCGGAGCACCA